AAAACCUUCUCCUGGAUUUCAGAGAAGGUAUUAUGACGGCUAAUAUCUGCUUCUCUGGGAAUUUCUACUGGCCUGCUAGGUCUUAGGAAGAUACUGAGGACUUAACCUCUCAGCUCUUACUUCACAAAAACAGUAAAUAUUCAUUAAGCAGAAUGAAGAAUUGUAAAACAGAAGAGACGUGUAUAUAGAAGGGUGAAGUCUAUGCUCCAGUCCUCACUUCAAACUAUAACUUGG